GAUAAACGCUGGUAGCAUGCUUAAGCCAUGCAAGUCUUCGCUCCUUUUUGGAGAGAGGCAAACGGGUGAGUAACACAUGGGUAAUCUACCCCUCGCUCAGGAAUAACCCUACGAAAGUGGGGCUAAUGCCUGAUAGUCUCCAUAAACUUUGGUUUAUGGAGUAAAGAUUGCGGCGAGGGAGGGGCCCGUGUCCUAUCAGCUUGUUGGUGGGGUAAUGGCCUACCAAGGCAAUGACGGGUAGGGGGCUUGAGAAGGUGGCCCCUCACACUGGGACUGGGACACUGCCCAGACUCCUACGGGAGGCUGCAGAUAGGAAUCUUCCGCAAUGGGCGAAAUGCCUGACGGAGCAAUGCUGCGUGAACGAUGACGCCCUUCGGGGUGUAAAGUUCUUUUCUGAGGGAAAACUUCCGAUGGUACCUCAGGAAUAAGCUACGGCUAAUAUCGUGCCAGCAGCCGCGGUUAUACGGUAGUAGCGAGCGUUAUCCGGAUUUAUUGGGCGUAAAGCGUCCGUAGGCGUCCUUUCAAGUUUUUGGUUAAAUCCUUAGGCUCAACCUAAGAAUUGCCAAAAAAACUGUUAGGAUUGAGGAUAGGAAAGGAGAGCGGAAUUCCCGGUGUAGGGAUAAAAUCCAUAGAUAUCGGGGAGAACGCCAAAGGUGAAGACAGCUCUCUAGCCUAUUCCUGACGCUGAGGGACGAAAGCGUGGGUAGCGAACAGGAUUAGAUACCCUGGUAGUCCACGCCGUAAACGAUGGAUACUGGAUAUUGGGAGGUUCUACCCCUCUUCAGUAUCGAAGCUAACGCGUUAAGUAUCCCGCCUGGGGAGUACGGCCGCAAGGCUAAAACUCAAAAGAAUUGACGGGGACCCGCACAAGCGGUGGAGCAUGUGGUUUAAUUCGACAUUAAGCGAAGAACCUUACCGAGGUUUGACAUCUUCCGAAGACCUUAGAAAUAAGGUUGUGCCUUUUAGGAACGGAAUGACAGGUGUUGCAUGGCUGUCGUCAGCUCGUGCCGUGAGGUGUUAGGUUAAGUCCUCAAACGAGCGCAACCCCUAUUGUAUGUUAUAUUCUCAUACAAAACUGCCCCGGCAAACGGGGAGGAAGGUGGGGAUGACGUCAAGUCCGCUUUGCCCUUAUACCUCGGGCGACACACGUGCUACAAUGGGCAGUACAAAGGGUUUUGCCUACCUGCGAAGGGAAGCUAAUCCCAUCAAAGCUGCUCCAAGUUCGGAUUGAAGGCUGCAAUUCGCCUUCAUGAAGUUGGAAUCGCUAGUAACUGUGGGUCAGCCAUACCACAGUGAAUAUGUUCUCGGGUCUUGUACACACCGCCCGUCAAGCCACGGAAGCUGGUAAUACUCGAAGUCCCCGCAUUGCGGGGCCUAAGGUAGGACCAGUGACUGGGGC
rnacentral:rRNA from 1 species